AAUUAUUUUCUUGUUUCAUCUAACAGCUGGUUAAACCAAAGGUAUACAUCACUGAAGUCAAUGGAGGCAGACAAGUGCAAAAAGGGAAAUUUUACUUACAAUAUUACAAAACUUACAAUAUUUCAGCUGUAUUCACAAGUAGCAUUUAACUGCAGCUUCUGUAUUAGGCUGUGACUGAACAAGCCUCGUUUUACUAAUUUGGAUGGUCAAUACAAAGUAUUUCCUUUGUGCAACUACCUUUGAAAAACAAAUGUCUUUUACUUAAACAUUGUAAAUAAUUUCUGAAGCUGACUACAAAGUUCCUUCUACCGUUAGUAGCUCCAGCAUCGUUAUUAGCUACUACUCUUAAGUUUUUUCAGUCUUGACACCUUUUACGUGUCUGCAGUUUCAAUUAUCUGUUCAGGCUUUGGUUCACCACUGGAUGGCAGUCACUGCAAUGCUAUUCACUCUGGGAAGGAAAGUCUCGUUUUAAAAGUACAGUACUGAAAGUACAUGCUGCUUUGUACGUGAAUAUGAAAUAUUACAGAGGUCAGUCACCUGAAGGCUUAAAUGGCAAGUCCCUUUAUGGCCCAAUGUGCAUCCUCGAUGAUUUCAGAAAGAUCCAGCACCAUCUCAGCCCAACGGGGACCUGACUUCGAAUUGUUCCUGUUCAAAUUGAGUUAAUUUUCAGCUAUGCCCGUUCAAAGUGAUGUACGUACUCUGCCACUUUCUGGAAAUAGCCCACAGGUGGAAUUACUUGGCCUCCACAACUCUGCAUGGAUUCAGCUAUGAAAGCAGCAAUCUACAAAAAACAAACUGAGGUAAGAGCUAUGUUCAUCUGCCUGGCCUUUGCACAAACAUCUAACAGUCUAGAAAUAAAUGUUUAAAUGUGUGCCCAAAUUUAAUCACACAAUGGUUUCGACAUCUGAGGGUUCUUGAGGAGCUAUGGCUAGAGAAUUUUUUCAUUUUUUUAAAUUGGGGAUGCCCAAAUUUGCAGUAGCCAGGGCCACCUUUGUAACCUGAUGGGAAUACAAGGACCUCCAUUAACCCCCAGUCCUACAGCCAUUAAAGUUGAACACACUGGUGUCAGCAAACAGGCUCCUGGGAGCUCUGUAAAUUUAUUAACAGAUUUCCAUUUACAGGAGACGUACCACUGUUUGCCAUUUUCUCCAAGAGGCAAAUAAAACUUGCUUAAUGUCAGGACUCUCCAGUAAGAGGUAUAUAUGGUGAUCAGCUUAAUUGUUCAAUCUUUUAACACCAGGUAGAGUUGGGUAGAAGCUGAACUAUAAGAUGACCUGAGGCUAUGCUUUGGGCACCCCUGCCUAAUGAAAAUAACUAAAGAAGUGAAAUGUCAGCAUGAGGCACUUGACAUAAGAGGAGAAAAAUUCUAUAGGUGAAAUAAUUCCAGUUGCUAGGAAUGAAAAAGAAAGUUAUUUCAAGUCAGGAAGGGCAAAAGCAGCGGAUCAGACACACUGGAACAUCAAAAUUCAUUUCUUGUCAACAUGUCUAUGCAGCAGAGAUACAAUAUUACCCCAAAGUCUCAGCAUAAGUCUGUUAUUUAAGGGAUUGCAUCCCCACACCACUUGUGAACCCCUCCCCGAGCAUCAAGAAGUCUCUCUGGGCUGGUGCAGUCUUCCUGGAAACAAGGCCGAGCAGUAACGUGUAAAGAACCAUACACUAUAUUUGAAGAGGCAUGCUACGGCCAAAGAGUACGAAGCUUCCCAUAGCAUGUGAGGCUUAGCCUUUAGCACAACUUGUCCUGCCACAGGUCUAUGUCACCAAAACCUAAGAAAUAUGCAAAAGAAAGGAAACAAGGGAAGAAAAAAAAAAAAAAAAAAACACAAAACUAUCCGUUAGUAGAGGAUAAAAAAAAAGUUGAUGAAGAAAUUAAAAGAAGAGUGAUACAAGUCCAUUGGACUAGAAUGGAACAUGUUGUUCCAAUCUCCACAGAAUGUGGGGCUUUGAAUCAAGCCCUACGUAUCUCUAAAUGCUUGUGCCAUCAUACAAAAUAUUAACACACAUUGUAAGUAAACCUGUUUAGAAAGGAUCUGUUUUUAUCAAGGUCAUGUUGUAUAUUAUUGAAAGGUUCAUCUUUUCAGAUGACUCCAAAGUUAUCUUAAGCUACCGGAAUCAGAAAUGUAGUAUCAAGAUUUUAUCUAUCUUUUUCUCCAUAUUUUCUCCAUUCAUAGAGACUUUUAUAUAUUGCUAAAACUUGUGUUGUGUUCUCAGCUGACCUCAAAGCUUGCCUGUGCCCUAAGAUAUUUACAGUCCACUGGUGCAAUGCAUAAAAUAGAGAAUUAAACUGUUUUGGCUGUAUCUGCUCAUUUACAAAUGUAUAAUUGAUCCUUUCACUGAUACCUAGAAAAAUUAUGAUAAGGUUGAAAAAUGGCACAUUUUGAAGACAGAACACAUCACAGGAAAAUGAAAGGCAAGCAAAGGAAACUAAGUAGAGAAACAUGUCCUUAGUUUCCUGUUUCAUGCUUCCAUUUUACUCUUAAAUGAAGCUUCAGCUUUUCUAGA